rnacentral:rRNA from 1 species
CUAAGUACAAACUUAUUUUAAAAGUGAAACCGCAAAAGGCUCAUUAUAUCAGUUAUGGUUUAUUAGAUCAUUAACAGUUACUUGGAUAACUGUGGUAAUUCUAGAGCUAAUACAUGCAAUAUAAACAUGAACCGUAUGGAACAUGUGCUCUUAUUAGUCUAAAACCAAGCGAUUUUUUUUAUAAAAAUCGUUAUAAUGGUUGAACUCUAGAUAAUUUGCCAAUCGUAUGGUCUUGUACCGACGAUAGAUCUUUUAAAUGUCUGCCCUAUCAACUAUUGAUGGUAGUAUUUAGGGCUACCAUGGUUGCAACGGGUAACGGGGCAAUCAGGGUUCGAUUCCGGAGAGGGAGCCUGAGAAACAGCUACCACAUCUAAGGAAGGCAGCCAGGCGCGUAAAAUUACCCACUCCCAGUUCGGGGAAGGUAGUGACGAAAAAUAACAAUACAGGACUCAUAUAAGAGGCCCUGUACAUUGGAAUGAGUACACUUUAAGAUCCCUUUAACAAGGACCUAUUGGAGGCAAGUCUGGUGCCAGCAGCCGCGGUAAUUCCAGCUCCAAUAGCGUAUAUUAAAGUUGUUGCGGUUAAAAACC